rnacentral:rRNA from 1 species
CUACGGGUUGCACCAGUGGGGAAUAUUGCACAAUGGAGGAAACUCUGAUGCAGCAACGCCGCGUGGAGGAUGACACUUUUCGGAGCGUAAACUCCUUUUAUAUAGGAAGAAGAUGACGGUACUAUAUGAAUAAGCGCCGGCUAACUCCGUGCCAGCAGCCGCGGUAAUACGGAGGGCGCAAGCGUUACUCGGAAUCACUGGGCGUAAAGAGCGCGUAGGCGGAUUAAAAAGUCAGGAGUGAAAUCCUAUAGCUUAACUAUAGAACUGCUUCUGAAACUCUUAAUCUAGAAUAUGGGAGAGGUAGAUGGAAUUUCUGGUGUAGGGGUAAAAUCCGUAGAGAUCAGAAGGAAUACCGAUUGCGAAGGCGAUCUACUAGAACAUUAUUGACGCUGAGACGCGAAAGCGUGGGGAGCAAACAGGAUUAGAUACCCUCGUAGUC